rnacentral:rRNA from 1 species
CCACACGACUCUCGGCAACGGAUAUCUCGGCUCUCGCAUCGAUGAAGAACGUAGCGAAAUGCGAUACCUGGUGUGAAUUGCAGAAUCCCGCGAACCAUCGAGUCUUUGAACGCAAGUUGCGCCCGAGGCCACUCGGCCGAGGGCACGCCUGCCUGGGCGUCACGC